rnacentral:rRNA from 1 species
GACCUGGAGGGUAGAAAGGCGGGGGAACCGAAAGGCCUCGCGCGAUGGGAGCGGCCGAUGCCGGAUUAGCUAGUUGGUAGGGUAAAGGCCUACCAAGGCGACGAUCCGUAGCUGGUCUGAGAGGACGACCAGCCACACUGGAACUGAGACACGGUCCAGACUCCUACGGGAGGCAGCAGUGGGGAAUUUUGGACAAUGGGCGAAAGCCUGAUCCAGCCAUUCCGCGUGAGUGAAGAAGGCCUUCGGGUUGUAAAGCUCUUUCGGCAGGAACGAAACGGUGAAGGCUAAUAACCUUUACUAAUGACGGUACCUGAAGAAGAAGCACCGGCUAACUACGUG